UCCGGGGUUAUGCAUAUAAAAAUCUGCAAGGAAUAAAAACAGAAUUAGAAAAUGCAUAUACAUACAAACAUAAAAGAAAAAACGGGCAAAGGAAGACCUUGUCGGUUAAAAGUAUCUUCAAUCGCGUGACCGACAGGCACAGCGAUAGGGUGCAAAAAGGCGAGCUUUUGCACGGAAGCUCCCUCUUCCUCAGUCAGAUCAGGACGAGGAAUAGGCUUGCGGCCACUAGUGGAUGCAGGGAGAAGUCUGCUGCCAGGACAUAACCUGCAAUCCAC
rnacentral:lncRNA from 1 species